rnacentral:rRNA from 1 species
UACGGAGGGUGCAAGCGUUAAUCGGAAUUACUGGGCGUAAAGCGUGCGCAGGCGGUUUGUUAAGUCCGCUGUGAAAUCCCCGAGCUCAACUUGGGAAUUGCAGUGGAUACUGGCAAGCUGGAGUAUGGUAGAGGAAGGUGGAAUUCCCGGUGUAGCAGUGAAAUGCGUAGAGGAUCGGGAGGAACACCAGUGGCGAAGGCGGCCUUCUCGGA